GGUUAGGGAGAGAGGAGAGGGGUAGGUUAGGGAGAAGAUGUAGGGGUUAGAGAGAUAGGAGAGGGGUUAGGGAGAGGAGAGGGGUUGGUUAGGGAGAAGAUGUAGGGGUUAGAGAGAGAGGAGAGGGGUAGGUUAGGUAGAAGAUGUAGGGGUUAGGGAGAGAGGAGAGGGGUAGGUUAGGUAGAAGAUGUAGGGGUUAGAGAGAGAGGAGAGGGGUUAGGGAGAGAGGAGAGGGGUUAGGGGGAGAGGGGUUAGGGAGAGAGGAGAGGGGUAGGUUAGGUAGAAGAUGUAGGGGUUAGAGAGAAAGGAGAGGGGUAGGUUAGGUAGAAGAUGUAGGGGUUAGAGAGAGAGGAGAGGGGUUAGGGAGAGAGGUGAGGGGUAGGUUAGGUAGAAGAUGUAGGGGUUAGAGAGAGAGGAGAGGGGUUAGGGAGAGAGGUGAGGGGUAGGUUAGGUAGAAGAUGUAGGGGUUAGGGAGAGAGGAGAGGGGUAGGUUAGGUAGAAGAUGUAGGGUUAGAGAGAGAGGAGAGGGGUAGGUUAGGUAGAAGAUGUAGGGGUUAGAGAGAGAGGAGAGGGGUAGGUUAGGUAGAAGAUGUAGGGGUUAGAGAGAUAGGAGAGGGGUAGGUUAGGUAGAAGAUGUAGGGGUUAGAGAGAGAGGAGAGGGGUAGGUUAGGUAGAAGAUGUAGGGGUUAGAGAGAGAGGAGAGAGGUAGGUUAGGUAGAAGAUGUAGGGGUUAGCUGCUACUGUAUAGAUGCCAACCCCAUGUGAUUAUCAUGAUCAACCCCAUGCGAUAGUCCUAGAUAUUCAUCAGAUGGCUCCACCUAUAACCCACAGGUCCUUACUCUGAGGACAUGUUGAAGGGAACGAUAUCCAC